UACGUAGGGGGCGAGCGUUGUCCGGAUUUAUUGGGCGUAAAGAGCGUGUAGGCGGCCAGGUAGGUCCGUUGUGAAAACUCGAGGCUCAACCUCGAGACGUCGAUGGAAACCAUCUGGCUAGAGUCCGGAAGAGGAGAGUGGAAUUCCUGGUGUAGCGGUGAAAUGCGCAGAUAUCAGGAAGAACACCAACGGCGAAGGCAGCUCGCUGGGACGGUACUGACGCUGAGACGCGAAAGCCAGGGGAGCAAACGGG
rnacentral:rRNA from 1 species